rnacentral:rRNA from 1 species
AACAAACGCUGGCGGCGUGCCUAACACAUGCAAGUCGUACGAGAAAGUCGGCUUCGGCCGAUGAGUACAGUGGCGCACGGGUGAGUAGCGCGUGGGUAAUCUGCCCCCCGGUCAGGAAUAACCCGCCGAAAGGCGGGCUAAUACCCGAUAACACUGACGCUCCGCGGAGCGUCUUUCAAAGAAGGCCUCUGUUUACAAGCUUUCGCCGGAGGAUGAGCCCGCGUACCAUUAGCUAGUUGGCAGGGUAAUGGCCUACCAAGGCUACGAUGGUUAGCUGGUCUGAGAGGAUGAUCAGCCACACUGGAACUGAGACACGGUCCAGACUCCUACGGGAGGCAGCAGUGGGGAAUUUUGGACAAUGGGCGCAAGCCUGAUCCAGCCAUGCCGCGUGAGUGAAGAAGGCCUUCGGGUUGUAAAGCUCUUUUGUCCGGGAGCAAGUCCUACUGGCUAAUAUCUGGUGGGGAUGAGAGUACUGGAAGAAUAAGCACCGGCUAACUACGUG